rnacentral:lncRNA from 1 species
UAGCAAUGCUCCCCAUCUUUUGUCUUGCAACAAUUCGGCCACACCUGAGUUUUCAUGAUGUUGCUCCCCAUUACAUAGAUUUUUCUAUAAGUUCCAAUCAAGUCAUUUCAAUCAAGGUCUAUAUGAUAGUGAAAGUAUUUGGGUUAAAUCUAAUUAAAAUCUGAGAGAUCCUAUAGAUUCCUCUCUAAAAGGAAAGGCCC